rnacentral:rRNA from 1 species
GGUUAGUGGCGGACGGGUGAGUAACGCGUGAGAAUCUGCCCUCAGGAGGGGGAUAACGGUUGGAAACGACCGCUAAUACCCCAUAUGCCGCGAGGUGAAAUGAAUUUCGCCUGAGGAUGAGCUCGCGUCUGAUUAGCUAGUUGGUGGGGUAAGAGCCUACCAAGGCUUCGAUCAGUAGCUGGUCUGAGAGGAUGAUCAGCCACACUGGGACUGAGACACGGCCCAGACUCCUACGGGAGGCAGCAGUGGGGAAUUUUCCGCAAUGGGCGAAAGCCUGACGGAGCAACGCCGCGUGAGGGAUGAAGGCCUCUGGGCUGUAAACCUCUUUUAUCAAGGAAGAAGAUCUGACGGUACUUGAUGAAUAAGCCACGGCUAAUUCCGUGCCAGCAGCCGCGGUAAUACGGGAGUGGCAAGCGUUAUCCGGAAUUAUUGGGCGUAAAGCGUCCGCAGGCGGUCUUACAAGUCUGUCGUUAAAGCGUGGAGCUUAACUCCAUUUCGGCGAUGGAAACUGUAAGACUAGAGUGUGGUAGGGGCAGAGGGAAUUCCCGGUGUAGCGGUGAAAUGCGUAGAUAUCGGGAAGAACACCAGUGGCGAAGGCGCUCUGCUGGGCCAUAACUGACGCUCAUGGACGAAAGCUAGGGGAGCGAAAGGGAUUAGAUACCCCUGUAGUCCUAGCCGUAAACGAUGAACACUAGGUGUCGGGGGAAUCGACCCCCUCGGUGUCGUAGCCAACGCGUUAAGUGUUCCGCCUGGGGAGUACGCACGCAAGUGUGAAACUCAAAGGAAUUGACGGGGGCCCGCACAAGCGGUGGAGUAUGUGGUUUAAUUCGAUGCAACGCGAAGAACCUUACCAGGGUUUGACAUCCUGCGAAUCCCUUGGAAACUUGGGAGUGCCUUCGGGAGCGCAGUGACAGGUGGUGCAUGGCUGUCGUCAGCUCGUGUCGUGAGAUGUUGGGUUAAGUCCCGCAACGAGCGCAACCCACGUCUUUAGUUGCCAGCAUUCAGUUGGGCACUCUAGAGAGACCGCCGGUGAUAAACCGGAGGAAGGUGUGGAUGACGUCAAGUCAUCAUGCCCCUUACAUCCUGGGCUACACACGUACUACAAUGCUACGGACAAAGGGCAGCAAACUCGCGAGAGCUAGCCAAUCCCAUAAACCGUGGCUCAGUUCAGAUCGUAGGCUGCAACUCGCCUACGUGAAGGAGGAAUCGCUAGUAAUCGCAGGUCAGCAUACUGCGGUGAAUACGUUCCCGGGCCUUGUACACACCGCCCGUCACACCAUGGAAGUUGGCCACGCCCGAAGUCGUUACUCCAACCCUUGUGGAGGAGGAUGCCGAAGGUGGGGCUGAUGACUGGGGUGAAGUCGUAACAAGGUAGCCGUACCGGAAGGUGCGGCUGGAUCACCUCCUA